GGCGUAGGGUGCAAGCGUUGUCCGGAUUUAUUGGGCGUAAAGAGCUCGUAGGCGGCUUGUCGCGUCGACUGUGAAAACCCGCGGCUUAACUGUGGGACUGCAGUCGAUACGGGCAGGCUAGAGUUCGGUAGGGGAGACUGGAAUUCCUGGUGUAGCGGUGAAAUGCGCAGAUAUCAGGAGGAACACCGGUGGCGAAGGCGGGGCUCUGGGCCGAUACUGACGCUGAGGAGCGAAAGCGUGGGGAGCGAACAGG
rnacentral:rRNA from 1 species